AGUCUGUGUAUUUUUCAUAAGUGUUCAACAAUGAAUAAUGAUAUUUUAAGUAAGAUUAACUUUCAGUGUUCAUCUUAGCUGCGUUGUAACUUUAACUGACCGCCGUUUCUAUUUCCAUGUUUACUGAACCUGGACUAGCUUAAGUAAACUAGUUUCUGUGUAGCAAGACACGAUUUACGGUUCGUUGUACAGCUAAAGCGAGUUUCUUUAAUUUGUCAUUCAUCAUUAAUGACAAUGCAGAACGGUAAGUGCCUGCUGCAUAAUAUUAAUAAUCCUCAGAGAUGGGCGCCCUGUCUGUGAUAUGACGCAGAACAGUUAGUGGCUUCACUCAUGUCCGUCUAAAGCUCGAAAAUGUAGAUAAUUAGUGGCUUGCAGGAGGUUUCCGCAGGCUGCGCAGAUUUCAGCCUAGAUACAUCGAAAAAUAGCGCUGUAUUGAAUUUAUAUUAAUAUUAUUGACCAAACAUGAAAAUAAUGAAUUGCGGCGAUUCCGGUGUACUUUUCAAAGCAAGAGCUCAGGCGGGAGAAAAUCCUUUUGAAAAUACCUUCUUUUCACUUCAUACUUUUAUUUUGAAGUUGUGCCCGGGGAAGUUGUUCGGUCAGAAAGGUCACGUACGACGUGCUUAUUCGAAUCUCCGCCGAACGUUCAUUGAACGUUGUCUAUAACAACGGUGGCUGCAGAUAGCCAACCUCCCUGAACUUCUAUAUUUGUCUUGCUGUGGCAACGCUGUGUUCAGGGCAACCUCCUUAUGGUAAGUGUCGACAUAGAUGAUAUGGAGAGGGACUUUCCUCUGACCACCAUGGGGGUCUAUGUGGUCAGAAAAGAAAAUGCAGAGCCCAAAGAAGAUCCUGAGGAUGUGGGAGUACUGAUCGAAGGGGUAGAGGUCCUUGCUGGAUUACCAAGUAUCACUUGUGGAUGUGCCAUGCUGUUUGGAUUGAUCUAUGCACUCAAUUUGAGUUACCCACAAGCGUGGAAGUGCACAUUUGAGGUGUUCCAGAAGAUACUGAUGAACCUAGAUGGUAAGAGGCUUUCACCAAAAGUUCAGUCAUUGAAAAUCAAGAUGUUGCAGUGAUCUAUAUGGUGCAGUCAUGCCUCACCAGUGGACUCUUUUUGACUCUUCGUUCUAUACUUUGAAUCUUGGACUUCUUCUGAUGAACAAAAAAUCUUGGACACUAUCACAUUGUUAUUGCUGCGCUUAAAAGUAUACCUGGUUUUCCAUUGGACAUUGUUUGACUCAACAUACCAAAGGGUGCAUUUUUGAUGCCUAUGCUUUUUGUGUUAAGUGUGCAACACAAAUUCUCUUGUGUGGAUAAUGACAUUACUUUCUUGUGAAGCACCUCUCAGUAUAUUUUCAGGGCACUGACUUUUUUGAAGUUAAUUUUGUUUUCACUAUGUUUUCUUUGUUGAAAAAAAAUUACUUCAGCCAAGCUUAAUGUUUGACUGUUUUGUUUGAUUUGUAGUCAUAACAAUUAGUGGGAAAAUUGUAAACAAAAUAGAUUGUUCAAACUGCAGUCACUUGUCUUAGCUCAUGUUUUCAGCAGGUGUAUUAAGUUUGUUAUUGAAGAUUUAUCUGCAUUGAAAAUACCAUUGUUGGCAUGUUAGAUGUUUAGAUAUUCAGUAACAACAUUAGGACAUCUAGCACAAACCUAUUUUAAAAUGCUUUAAGUGUGAUGACAUUUUGAAACUCCAGAGUCUAGUUAAAAAAAAAAAAAAAAAGAAAACUUGUUGAGUUUAUUGUAGCAAAGGAGUCACUUAUUGGGUGAUGUUUUACACUCUGAUUUUGCAAGAAAGAAGUGUUGCAAGACUGUUAACACUAAACUUUUGCCAUUUUCGUUAAACUGUUUGUUAAAACCAAUAAAUUGGUUUUAAUUAAAAA